rnacentral:lncRNA from 1 species
AUACCCCUGCCCCUAUAUGUAAUAUAAGGCAUUCACCUGUAUAUCAGUGUAAGAUAAGGUUUAUACCCCUGCCCCUAUGUGUAACAUAUUAAGGCAAUCAUCCCUAUAUCAGUGUAAGAUAAGGUUUAUACCCCUGCCCCUAUGUGUAACAUAUUAAGGCAUUCACCCCUAUAUCAGUGUAAGAUAAGGUUUAUACCCCUGCCCCUAC